rnacentral:lncRNA from 1 species
CCCCCCAGAGACGGCCCAGCCCUCAGCCUAGAACGUGCAGCUUCUCGCAGCUCGCCCUACUCCGCGCCUGCACCCGCAGCUGCAGCAGCAGCUCCACGUUAUUCGCUCCCCUCAGCCUGAAAAGCAAACUCGGACCCCGACAAGCAAUGAUGGCAGCUAUCAGAUGUUAGACAGCCGCUUCCAAGAGGGUUGAAGUCUAACAACAUCUGGAGAUUCCUACACAUAAAUUGACGACUGCUCCCAUAUUCAUGAAGAAGAAAACCUGCAGUUUUGGAAGCCACCUCGAGCUCAGUCUCCUGACAUUCUUCAUGCUCAGUUCUGAGAGAAUCAGUGGGAAGAAACUUGGGACUACCUGAAACUGUCUGGUAAUUACUUGCAAGCAAACAUUCAUGCAGAAACUAAGAGGGGUGAAUUCUAUACAACACAGACCUUUCCAUAUCCAGUGACAUGCAAUUACCAAUUCUAAGAAGUGUAGUACAGAAUCCUUAAAUUAACAACUCCACCCCUUUUUUUAAACACUGAACAAUAAUGACCCUAAGGUAAUAAUUAACAGGGCAUUCUGAUUCAUCUUCCUAUGAUUGCUUAGUAUAUGCUAGGAACAAUUGUGCCAGUAGUGCAUCGUUCCUAAGUAUAGAAAGUGACUUCACCCUGUAAUAAAGCUGUAUCUGUUUCGGAAACA